UUUCACCUCCAUUUAACCAUGGGACUCUGAACCAAUUUGACUCAAGUUUUCUGACAGCAAGCUUCACACUUUUCUUUAUUUGUCUUUAAAGGUCUCCAAGUUCCAAUGGGACUUCUAAUUUCAAUCGACCUUACUUUUCCUUUAUGUGAGUAGACUCCCACGUGAUGAACAUGACUAUUUCUUUGUUCCUGCUUUUUCCUGGAACGUCUUCGAAGAAUGGAGUAGCAGCAACGUGUCAAAUUCUUUGAGUCGUGUUCAACUUUUGCUGACAAGUUUAUGCAUAUUUGGUGAUCUCAUGAAGGACAGGUUUUUGAGGACAUAGUCUCCAUACUUCUUGUUCUCAGAGCCAAAAAUUAAUAAACUCCUAUAUGAAUAAAACAAAUGAAAAGGCCAUUGACUUUCUUCCUUUUUCAUUUAAUCUCCAUGUGGAGCAACAUUUCUAGUUUAUUUGGGGAGUAUUUUAUCCGUAGUAGCACUCCACCUUUUCUCUUCCUUGCUGGAUGCUUUGUCUUCUAACUUAAUCUUCUGUGAUCACAGAUAGCAUCUACAUCGUCUUCUUUUCCUAGUAACUUAAACAGCAGCCCGCACCAUUUUUUGGUGUUCUAUGCCAGCAAUACAUCCUUCCUUUCCAAGACAAUUUUUCCUUAACUUCAAGACAAUGACGGCGGUGGUCGGGUUGCUCCUUUGUAGAGUUUUAGUGGCAAGUGAACCGAGGCGCCACAAAUAAUGGAGACGGGUGUUCUACUUUGCUUUUGCUGCACCAUUUUCCUUCGUUGAAUUUGAUGCAAACUCUCCAAGCAUCUUCAGUUUCUCUUUAAUAAGCAGGGACCACUUCUUAUUCUUCCACGCCAAGCUGUUGCAAUCAUCGGGAGAGACCGUGACAACUGAUUUUGGAGGGCAUCAGUUGAAGGGUGUUGAUGACGGCGAAGGAUUGUGGAGAAGUCGAAGGUGUCAGCAACAUGGCAGCUUUGGUUGUUGGUCUCUUUCUACAAUGACGCGACUUCCUUUGGGUUCUUCUGGUUUUAUGCGACACAGCAUCAUUAAACCCAUCUCCUUCAAGCCGCAUGAUGCAUGGAUUUCUUCUGGAAGACCGCCACUAUGCAACAUUGCAUCAUCAAAUCUAUUUCCUUCAAGUUGCGUAGUGCACGGACUCCAUCUAGACCUUCGGGUUCUUUUGGUUUUAUGCAACACAGCAUCACCAAACCCAUCUUCUUUAAGCCGCAUAAUGCAUGGAUUUCUGGGAAGACCGCCACUAUGCAACAUUGCAUCAUCAAAUCUAUUUCCUUCAAGUUUCAUAGUGCACAGACUCCAUCUGGAAAAUCACCGGAGAUGUCGGUUGGAGACGUGGUACGAUUGCCAUUUCCGUUUGGGUUUUUGUCUAACAUCGACGGUUGCUAGCAUAAAUUGUUGUUGCCGACCAAGGUUUUUAACAACAACGUUUGCCUGCAAAAUAAAUUUACUAGAGAGAAAAUGAAGAGAAACAUAGUUUUGUACCUUCUGAUUGUUGCUUGUAAUUUGCUUCUCAAUCGCCGGUAAUGGAAUUACUUCAUCUUCUCUUCUACAGUACUUCGUUACUUCUUUCCUCUCAAUUUCUCUCACAAUUUGUGUAGAGUCUCUCCUCUCUGUUUCUGUUGUCCUCUUUGCUUUGGUUUGAUGCCUUUUUAUAGGCGAAAGGUGGACAUGGCAGUUAAAGCUAGUGGGAUGCUAUUUUCCUGGGGUGUGGAGAUGCUGAGAGAAAGCCAUCACUUGAGUGGAGAACGUGGGGGGUUUUUGGAGAGUUCUAGACACACAUGAUCUCUGUACUUGGUUGCCACAUAGAUAACAAAACUCCAUCAGACUUGUCAUAGUCCACGUACGUGCAAGUGUAGAAUAUUUUUUUAUUUUUUAUUUUUCUCUUAAGUCUCCCUGUUUUUAAUAAGACUUGCUAAAAUAUUUUGUUUGUGAAAAUAUAUAGCUCAACAGUUGCCCGCUCAAGCAUCGUGCGUGGAAAUGGCUUUGACAUGUGCGAGGCUUGAAAUUUUUUUCUCUUCUCUAGUUCCAUUUAUGUUUUGAUUUGACAGUGGUUUGACAUCCGAGUAGAUUUUUUUAGUCACUUGAGUUGCCCAGGAAUUCUAAGAACAUUAGUGUAUAGCAGUUUAUCCACAUGCAGUACCAUUGGUGGAAAAGAAGCAGAUGAGGUCGUUCGUGUUCUUCGUCAGCAGUAUGAUUCCGGAAGAGUUUCUGUCAAGCAUCGAGUGAGUGACCUUAAAGCUUCAAUUGAGUGAAAAAAAAGAAAUUGGAUGUAGAACUUCGUCAGUCCUGGAUUGACGCGAAUGAAGGGCUUCUCCCAGACGUUGGGCGUGCUAAAGCUUUGAACAAAUCUGCAGAAGAAAGAUUUUUGAACUCGAUUGCUUCCCUGCUCCACUUUUGCAGUAAACCGGAGUAGGGAUUCAUGUGGUUUUCCUUCUGUUUUACACUCCUGCUAUUUUGGGAUAUUUAUGUUGGCCUUUCCUCUUUUUUCGCAGACUCUUUUGAGCAAACUUGGUUGAUAAUAAUGGGAUUGAACCAUAACGUUUGAGAUUUAUUUGAAUUUUUUAUUUUAUUCAAACCAUAUUCCUUUACC